rnacentral:tRNA from 1 species
UACUCGUUAGUCAAGUGGAUAAGACGCUGUUCUUUUAAGACAGAGACAUAGGUUCAAUUCCUAUACGAGUAA